AUCCCGUGGUGAGGACAUGCUAGGAUGUACUCCUGAAGCCUCUCCCUUGCUUCAGAUAUUGAUUCACCUGACGCCUGCCAGAAACUGGAGAUUCUUCCUCGAAGAGC